AAGUCGUAACAAGGUUUCCGUAGGUGAACCUGCGGAAGGAUCAUUAAUGAAAUUCUGACUGAGGCUGUAGCUGGUCCCUAGCCGGACCUGUGCACGUCUCUUUCAAAAUCCACAAACACCUGUGCACCUUUGCGUGAGUCCACUGGGGUUGUACCCGAGGGGGCUUGCGUCCUUUUCACAAACUCUUGUAUGUCUUUAAGAAUGUCUAUCUUGAUGUAAUAAAACGCAUCUAAUACAACUUUCAACAACGGAUCUCUUGGCUCUC
rnacentral:misc_RNA from 1 species